rnacentral:ribozyme from 11 species
ACACAAGAAAAAAAAGAAGGAAAGAAAGAAAGAAAGAAAGAGAAAGAAAGAACACCCCCAUCUUCGCAUUCGCAUUCUUGUUC